rnacentral:rRNA from 1 species
GACGAACGCUGGCGGCGUGCUUAACACAUGCAAGUCGAGCGGUAAGGCCCUUUCGGGGGUACGACGAGCGGCGAACGGGUGAGUAACACGUGGGUGACCUGCCCUCAGCUCUGGGAUAAGCCUGGGAAACCGGGUCUAAUACUGGAUAUGACUCCAUGACGCAUGUUGUGGGGUGGAAAGCCUUGUGCGGCUGAGGAUGGGCCCGCGGCCUAUCAGCUUGUUGGUGGGGGA